UUACUAUACAAAAGUAUGAAAGAGUAACAUUAAUAUCUGAGUCUAGACUUCAGAAAUUUCCUCUGUAUCACCAUUUACUUUGCAACGGUAUCUUCAGUAUCUGGAAGGUGAUAGGGGGGUGAGAUAAAAUAUCCCAGUAAGCAAUAUUAUGAAAUCACAGCAUAGUACAUGUAAUAUAUAGUUUCUUUACACAUAACAAAACAUAUAUCAUAUAAUCUUUUCAAAACAAAUACGAAUUAGAAGACGAAGGCACAAAUCAGAAACCAGAUUCAUGUUGUAUACUUCCUCACUAUUAUGGAGGAUCAAUCAAUUACCAUACAUUAUGUGUAGGCACAGAUACUUAUCACAAGUUCUCAAGGUACCCAAAAACAGAACAGCAUACAUGAGUACCUUGAAACAUUGCUACCCCCCGAACACAGAACGGUU
rnacentral:lncRNA from 1 species